rnacentral:rRNA from 1 species
GACGACGCGUGGCGGCGUGCUUAACACAUGCAAGUCGAACGGUGACGAGGAGCUUGCUCCUCUGAUCAGUGGACGAACGGGUGAGUAACACGUGAGCAACCUGCCCCAGACUCUGGGGAUAACAGUUGGAAAACAGCUGCUAAUACCGGAUACGAGACGGAGAGGCAUCUCUACCGUCUGGAAAGUUUUUCGGUCUGGGAUGGACUCGCGGCCUAUCAGCUAGUUAGUGAGGUAAUGGCUCACCAAGGCGACGACGGGUAGCCGGCCUGAGAGGGCGACCGGCCACACUGGGACUGAGACACGGCCCAGACUCCUACGGGAGGCAGCAGUGGGGAAUAUUGCACAAUGGGCGAAAGCCUGAUGCAGCGACGCCGCGUGAGGGAUGACGGCCUUCGGGUUGUAAACCUCUUUCAGCAGGGAAGAAGCGAAAGUGACGGUACCUGCAGAAGAAGCACCGGCUAACUACGUG